rnacentral:miRNA from 1 species
GGGUAGCUGGGCUGAGGGAGAGGAAGGCUGGACUGAGGCUGAUCCAGCCCAGGGCCUCCAGCGUGCUAGGCAAGCACUCAGCCUCAGUCCAGCCUUCCUCUCCCUCAGCCCAGCUACCC